AUGAGAUGGUUGCAGAAAACCUGGCGGGGUUUCCCCUUGGGAAGCGGUUUGGGACUGUUCCCGAAGCAUUUCUGCUUUCCACAGCAGGGACAUCGUGGUUUGGAAAACAUCGAGUGCACUGGGAAAGAGCGGAUCCUGAGCUACCUCCUUCAUUUUCCACUCUUGAAUGCUCAUAUCCGACUCCACCUUUAUGCUGAUACAUUUGCAAGGAGAAAACCCGUGUUUGCCAAGCACCUCGAGACCUGCACGAUGCUCUCAGUCGCUCCAGUGAGGACCACCCAGCAACUCAGGGGAUGUUGUGUUGAGGAAUACCCUGCUUAAUGGAGCUGUCUUGGUAAAAUAGACCUGGAAGCUGCUGCCCGCGGCCAGUGCCAGGAAAGCUCUGACUCAGAGCUGCUGUUACCGAAAUGCCGGUCCCUGCGCUAUUUCUGAACUUCCCCUCACCUCCUGCCCAGCUGGAGCAGAUCCGAGCACUGGCGCCUAUAUGGUGUGUAUAGCCCCAGCGGGGAACGUACAGCCUUGCAGCCUGCCCCACAAAUUUACUGUCCUUGCAAUCCCGGGGACCUGAGCGUGUUCUUUUCCUUCCUCCAGGCAUCAGCACACUGGAAGAUUGGCAAAGCCAAGGUGGGACGAGCUGCUGUGGCUUCUACUGACCGUGUGUGGUGGUUGUUUCCUUGCAAAAAGGAACCAAAACUCCUGAAAAGGCUCAGUUCCCAGGCAAUUGCACAGUUAUGCACAACAGAGCAGGGAAAACGGCAUUAAACUCAGCAUAAGGUCUUUGCAAGUUCAGCCAGCUGCAUAUCAAUUAAUUUGCAGUUGCAAGAUAAGCAGAUCCUUCAGCACUACAUUUUCCUUGAAAAUAGUGAUUUCUAUUACGAGCAAGACAGACCCAGCCUAUCAUAACAAUCUGCUCUGAAUUAUUUAGCAUAUUCACCCAGCAUGUUUGACUUGUUUUUAAAAGACUUUUUUCCUAGAGAGAUAAGAAACUCUGCUUUACAUAGAAGCCAUUUCACAAUCAGCUCACUACACUUAUCCACUUCCUUAAGAGGCUUUAUUACACUAAAUUACUGGAUAAUCUGUGGACACACAGCCAUGACAUCAGAUCUCUUCUCUUCAAGCUUUGCUCGUUUUGACUUUUGAUCUGGAGCUGCUCGUAUCGGUCCAAGAGGUCCUAUUUUGCCCACAUUUACUUGUCACUGUCCUGUCACGCUGCACUGUGCUUGUUUGGAAAGUUGGCAUCAGCUCAAGUGGUUGUUCUUGAAAGAUUUUUUCUUUUUUUUUUGCUAAACUUUUUGUUGGGGCCUCAUGCGUUCUUACUUUUUGCAUUUUCUCAGCCCAAAGUAAAUAUUGGAUCUUACCCGAAAGACCAGCAGGGCCUUGGCAGGGCAUGUGGCAGUGCUUGUGAUGACCAUCAGUGUUUGACCUCAUGCUGAGCUGAAAGGACACGUAUGUCCUUCAGUCUUUCUCUCCAUCCCCUAUAGGAAUUGACACUUUCUUUGUUAAGACCAUUUCUAUUAGUCAGGGAUGAAUUGUACAAUCUGCUUUAAACCUGAGUGUCACCUUCAUAAACGAUACUGGGAUACAGUGUAAUGCAGUUAAAUAUAUAAAACAAUGCUUUAUAAAGUUGCUUCUCUGCUCCUGUGAGUUCGCAUCAAGGAAAAAAAAAAAAAGAGAGACUUAUUCAACACCAGCUGGUGGUUACCUGGGAGUGGAGAGAACGUGCUCCUAACCCCUUGGUCUGGACAGGCAAUGGGCUGACAUUUUCUGUUCCUGCUCUCAGGAAUGGUCUUUGCUGGUCUGGCAAGAGCUGUCCUGCCACAGAUUGCAAUGCCAGCCCUGUGAUCUUAAGGCAAAAGUAAAUGGUGGGGUUUGAAAGCAGCUUGAAGAGUGUUGUAAAUUAUAAAAAUCCUGUUUUUAUAUCCUUAAGAAAUAAGUAAUCGUGGGGAAGAGGCUGCCGUUACACCCCUAGGUAGAUGAGGAUCACUCUGAGAUCUGGCAAAGCAUCUCUAUGAGCAUGUCUAUGAGAGUUUUCCUUGUUCCAUGGUGCUGCAUAUAGCCAUGGGAUGCAAACAAUUUACUGUGACUUGGUGUGGAUGAAUGUGUCUCUCUUCUGCAUAGGGACUUUAAGAUUCCUACAGAUGAAAGGUGCAGUUUAAGUGCAGCCAUACUUUACCCAUAUAUAGCAACGACAGCUGGAUUUGGUUAAUCCAUUGGGCAUGCUGUAAAGCCUGCCUGUUUUCCCAGGCACUCACAGUGGGGGUGGAUUGAGAAGGUUGCUCUGUGCAGAGCUGUAAGUGCUGCUGGUAUGGGGGACAAACGGUGCUGUGGGCUGCAUGUGCUGUCUGAGUUACAGGAGACACGGAUUUUUACGGUGUCUGUGAGAUGUCGCUUUUUAAAUGUGAAAAAGCAAAGGAACAGACUCUGAAAUUUCACGUUUGAGUAAGUACAAUUUAUUCCAGGCAGUGCUGAAGGUAGUUUCUUAACACAAUGCUCUACAUGCUCCAGCAAGAUCCAGUGAUAACAUCACUGGCUAGUCAUUAUGCACUAGUCUGGGCUAGGAUGACAACUACUGCAGAAAUACUUACCUGCAGUGGAGAAACAAGCAUCAAAGUUUGUCUAGAGUGCACCAUGGAGUCAGCAGAUCAAUUAGAUGAAACAGCAUGUCUGCAAGCCUCUUCCUUCCCAAACUGACAGUUUACAAUUAGGAUCAGCGAGAUGCUCACAGAUGUAGUCAUCAGCAGGCCUUCUGUUUCCAUGUGCAUCUUAUGCGUGGUUCCUGUAAUUGUAGCAGAGCCAGAAUACAUAUUUAGUUGGCCAAAAUGAGGAUCAGUUGCCUUUAGUUAUAUGGAAUAAAGUGACAAAGGUAAACA
rnacentral:lncRNA from 1 species